rnacentral:rRNA from 1 species
AGGUUACUGCUAUCGGUGUUCGCCUAAGCCAUGCGAGUCAUAUGUUCUUCGUGAACAUGGCGUACUGCUCAGUAACACGUGGAUAACCUGCCCUUAGGUCCGGCAUAACCCCGGGAAACUGGGGAUAAUUCCGGAUAACGCACAUAUGCUGGAAUGCUUUAUGCGUCAAAUGGAUUCGUCCGCCCAAGGAUGGGUCUGCAGCCUAUCAGGUAGUAGUGGGUGUAAUGUACCUACUAGCCUACGACGGGUACGGGUUGUGAGAGCAAGAGCCCGGAGAUGGAUUCUGAGACAUGAAUCCAGGCCCUACGGGGCGCAGCAGGCGCGAAAACUUUACAAUGCGGGAAACCGUGAUAAGGGGACACCGAGUGCCAGCAUCAUAUGCUGGCUGUCCGGGUGUGUAAAAUACACCUGUUAGCAAGGGCCGGGCAAGACCGGUGCCGGCCGCCGCGGUAACACCGGCGGCCCGAGUGGUGAUCGUGAUUAUUGGGUCUAAAGGGUCCGUAGCCGGUUUGGUCAGUCCUCCGGGAAAUCUGACGGCUUAUCCGUUAGGCUUUCGGGGGAUACUGCCAGACUUGGAACCGGGAGAGGUAAGAGGUACUACAGGGGUAGGAGUGAAAUCUUGUAAUCCCUGUGGGACCACCUGUGGCGAAGGCGUCUUACCAGAACGGGUUCGACGGUGAGGGACGAAAGCUGGGGGCACGAACCGGAUUAGAUACCCGGGUAGUCCCAGCCGUAAACGAUGCUCGCUAGGUGUCAGGCAUGGCGCGACCGUGUCUGGUGCCGCAGGGAAGCCGUGAAGCGAGCCACCUGGGAAGUACGGCCGCAAGGCUGAAACUUAA